UGAUGAAGAUGAAGAGGCAGCAGCAACGGCAUAGCUAGACGGUGACAGGCCCUUGUGCAAUAUUAAUUUACCAGGCCCUUUGAUAUAAAGUGUCAACCGAGGCAUCACUAGCCCAAGUUACAGUUGCGGUUGUGAUGCAAUUUUGUCGUAUUUUCAAUGCACACAGAUGUCGGAGGGGUAUAAAAAGGAAGAUGCAAAAUGUACGAAACUGUUGCUGUGUGUACUUAUGACAAGUUGUGACUCAUCAGAUCAGACGAAGGGAUGGAAGACAACAAAGAAGAUUGCUAUACGUACCUAUCACAGAGUUAAGAGGGAACCUGCCCUGGGGUCCAAGUUGAAAGUAGUCAAUUCUAUGAAAUCCUCAGUGGCAGAUUCAGGAAUUUGAAGUAGAAAAGAAACACAGGGAGGAAUUUUACAAAUGGAGGGGCUAGAGCUGAGGAUUCUUGCCGACAUAUUUCCUGAAGCACAAUUUCUUUUAAACACGGUGGAUGGUAACUGAAAUAUGUGGAUCAAGCUCUCCGAGACGAAAGCAAGCAAUGACGCCUCAGCAGCACAAUUCUCUUGAUUUCUUUGACAUGCAAUUCCAUAGUGAAACGCCCGCUUUGAUUCCAGAAGAAAACAAGCAUUAAGGAAGUACAAGAAAAAAGCAAUUAAAUCUACCGAAAGAUAGUGCCAUUCUGUGCUGUGGCUUCACACCCCAUUGGUUGAUGUAUACUCCCUUAGUUUACUGCCAUUCCAUGCUGUGGUUUUACCCACUUGAUGACUGACUGAUGUAGGGUACAAUGAUAUAGACAGGGCAAUGCUUGCUUUAUAACCCAUGUUUAGAGCUUGUUAUUCACUGCCCCCAACAAUCGUCAGUUUAUGCGAUUCUACGGAGAACUGAACGCCACGACGUGCACGCAAGCGAUUGUUUUUAAUGACAAUCCGUUCAAACUGCCAACGACAAUCAGCAAGCGACGGCAUCGCUUCUUCUAGCCAUCCACAGAGAGUGGAGUUGGAUUCAUCGGCCGAUGGUCUUACAACUGCCGUAUGACACAUCAAGUUUUAUAGGUAGCCAAUACCAUCAAGAUGUGUACAAAAUCCAGAGCACCAACAUUCAGUGGACCUUUCUCAUUGGUCAGUUUGAUUGACACCCUGGAAAGGCCCAUUAUCACUGUCUUAAGUAACCUAUCAAGUAAAAUGAUAAAACAUGGGAUUUAUAUAUGCACAGUUGUAUAUUGUUCAGUAAAAUGCAAGACAUGUAACAGUAAUAUGACAAAUUGUAUUUAUUUAGAUACGCUGUAUUGGAUGUAUGUGAUUUGGGGUUUUGUUUGUACUGUUGCUGAUAAUAGUGAUGAUGAUGGUGGUGGUUAUGGUGGUGUUGAUUACAUUAUUUUAUUUUUCGGUUCUUUCAUUUGUAUUUAUUUAGAUUUUAAAAAAAGAAUACCACACAGCCUGAUACACAGAUACAAAACUCAGUGAGCUGGAGGGGCAGAGCUUUCAAAUUGAAGUUAGCUGCUUAAUAAUAAGAAGUAAACACACUAUUCUAUUGGUAAAAAAAAAACUUUUCCUACCGACCUACCCUUUUUUUGGAUUUACCCAAAAUGUGGCCCCAGCACAGGAAUUUUUGUUUGGCCUAUUGGUAGUGGUGGUGAUUAUGAAAGGUGCUGGUGUCUGUUGCUAGGAUGAUGUUGAUGUUAUCCAGUACUAUAGUCUCCUUAACCAGGUUCUUAUACAGGGCUCCCUCUAUUUAAAGUUCAACUCUAAUUCUGUGGUCCCUAAUUAGCAAAUGUCUGUUACAGUAUCUUUAUUAUUAUCUAUAUUAUUGGAGACCAAAGCUGCUGAAGACAGUGGCAACCUUGAUCCCAACAAUGGUCUUUAAGUGGAAAUAUUCUUAUAUAAGUCUCCCUCUAAUUAAAGACCACCUCCAAUUAAAAACCACUUUUCUGUGAUCCCAAAUUAACAAAUGACCGUUACAGUAUUUUUAUUUUUCUAAUUAGAGACAAAAGUUGCUAAACGCCAUGGAAACCCCGGUCCCAAAAGUGGUCUUUAAUUGGAGGGAGACCUGACAUUCAUUAUUGUGUUGCACACUAAUUGCCCACUCCAUUUUUUAAAUACAUCAUUUAUUUCUGUUUUUAAAAAAUAAUUUAAAUGAUUAUAUAAUCCAGAAAAUGUUCUUAGUGUUAUUAACAAGCAAAAACAUUUAUCAAAAUGUUUUUAUAUAGUUUGUUUAUGUUUACGUUUGUUAUCCAUAUAUAAUAUAAACAUCCUUAAAUUUAUAUUGCAUAAUUGGCUGUAUCAGCAUUAUUCAAUUUUAAUUCCUGCAUAUCAAGUUUAUUUCUAUUUAUCAUUACACAAAGGUCAAUAAAAUUAUUUGUUAAGCCCUUUCCAGCCUGCAUGUGACAUAUCUAUAUAUGGUAAUGAUGACAUCACAUCAUGACCAUAAUAGGCACAUCAUGACUAUAUAUGGGCAUACAACAGUUUUUUGUUGUACUUCAAAAGUUGUCUGUGUUUAUACAGUGUAGCACAUAUAUGCAUUUAUAAAUGCAAGCAUUAUAUUAAGCAAUGCCCAAUAAUUUAUUAUACAAUUUUGUAAACAGUAAAUCAUCUAAAUAUGUUUUGUGUCAAAGGUUAUUACAUAGGUGUAGCAUUACAAUUAUAUCGAAGGAAAUAUAACAUGUAAUAUAAAAUUAUUUAUUAAUAUGUAACAUGAUAAUGGUAUAUUAUGUGAUAUUUAGUUAUUUAUUAUAUCUUUAUUAGAUAAGCAUUAAUUAUUAUUGUUUUAUAUUGUAUU